rnacentral:rRNA from 1 species
UACAGAGACCUCAAGCGUUAUCCGGAUUUAUUGGGCGUAAAGAGCUGGUAGGUGGUUAUAUUAGUCAGAUGUCAAAUCUUCGAGCUCAACUCGAAAACUGCAUUUGAAACGGUAUAACUAGAGGGUGUGAGAGAUCUAUGGAACUCAUGGUGUAGCAGUGAAAUGCGUUGAUAUCAUGAGGAACACCAAAGGCGAAGGCAUUAGAUUGGCACACUCCUGACACUGAGCAGCGAAAGCGUGGGUAGCGAAUGGG